AUUUCUUUCCAAUUUUAUUUGUGUCUUCUUGGUUAUUUCCUUUUCUUUUGUCUUAUGUCUCAUGUCUUUUUAUUUCCUUAAUGUUUUAUGUCUUCUUUUUAAAUUUUAUUAACACCUCAUGAUCUCACCUAUAGAGAUUUAGGAAUAAGGAAUCUCAUAAGGAAUCUCAACCCUGAUCACCGUAUCUUCCUAAGAUUACGGUUAUUGUACCUGAUAUUUACAGUCACAACUAGACAAGGGUGUUCAAAGCAGCACCAAGCAAGUCACCAGGUUCUUUCUUUUUUCCCUUCCUGCCUAUAUCAGGUACAUUCUUCCCUCAACUCUCAAGAUCCCUUAGCCCUGGCAAGAUAGCAACUCCAUUCUUGCCUACUGUUCCCUGAACAUAAGGAGCUUAAAGCACCCAGGUAACGGCUAUAGUUUUUAAUAAAUGGUAUCUUUGCUGUGUAUCUCUGUUCUAUUCAGUAACAGGAUCCAAGCAUUGCAUGAAUGGGAAGCACGAACUCCCCCACGGAUGCUGUGUGCAGAUGCUACGUGUGACUACUUCUACAUUUACCCAUUGGUCCUGUCUCUUUCCCAAGUUCUGGCUUUCAAGAGAAGAAGAAUGAAAAGGGAGGCAAGCAAUUUCUUAAGAAUGAGUUGGGGCAGCAAUUGGCAACCUCCUGUCUUCCCUUUUGAGAAGUAGCAGGUUGAUUUUACUACGCCUAAUAAUAAUUCUUAUUUUCUAUUCAAAGUUGUAUUAAAAUAUAGUCUUCAAAAUUGCUUUGUGAUUAAAAUGUAUGUGUGCGUAAUUCGUAUGUAAAAUUACACUGUGGUAAAACAUUCACUUUGUGAGCAUAUCUAAUAAAAAAGCUUUGGCACACA
rnacentral:lncRNA from 1 species